CCGUUGCAACAUGGGAAUGAUAAGAAGAGGAGAAAAAAGAAAAAAGAAAAGAAGAAUGUACAUCUUACCUCCACUCCGGUAGGUUAGAAAAAUAGCGACUUACUGCAGCUGCUUGACAAAAGUGUCGGCUUCUUUGGGAUCUUCAAAAUAAACAAUCUUCUCUUUAUGAAGACUACGGAGCCGAUGAGGAUAUGCAAAUCCUCUGAACAUGCCUUUUUCGAGGAAUAAUUUGAUCACCAGGUCAAACUCCUUGCGCUUUCGGCGUACCUCUGCAGACAGAUCCUGGCGAAUGGUGAGUUUAGUAUUACCCUCGUGGAUUGACAUUUUCUUCGCAGAUUGCAGUAUCAUUUCUUUAUCUCUGACUCGUAGAAAGCGGAUCAUAAUUGGUCUUGGAGGCUUCCCUGGCUCGGGAUAUGGUCGUAGAGAGCGGUGAACCCGCUCCAACUCUAGAUUCUGAUCGAGGGAGAGUUUGAGCCAGCAAGACACUAGAGGGCGCCAGAGGAUCGAAUAAUGAAAUCUGAUGCAGAGCUCAGAGGAUCAGUGAGUUCUCUGCACGAUGUGUCUGGCACCAACACAAGAUGACCCAAUCUGGAGAGAAAACUGGACUAAAGUAGGACGGAGGGAGGGCUGGACUGGCCAUCUGGCAUACCGGGCAUUUUCCCGGUGGGCCGACGUGCCUUUUGGGCCGACACGUCAUUUUUUUUUUUUUCUGAAGUCCCGGCCCAUAAGACGGGUAGAUUGGCCCUCUGUUUAAAUGUUUUUAGUAAUUGACACUGGGCCGGCCCAAUCAAAUCUUUAAUCACCUCCCCCUUUGGGCCGCUCGGUGUGCAUCAUUAAAUCACGCCCCCAGGAGGUGAGCCGGCCGUUGAAGCCUAACCGCCUUUUUUUUCGAAAAAAAAAAAGUUCGAGUUAGAAAUGGAGAAGGCGAAGGCGAAGAAGAAGGCCAAGCGAAAAGGGGGAGCAGAAAAAUUGCGGGCAAGAAAAAAGCAGGCCCUUCGUGCUGAUGCUGCCGCUUGUGUCAAAAUAACCGACAUGUUUAGUACAGGUGCAGGUCCAUCUUCAGCACCCGUGGCCGAUAUUGGU